CAGCCGCCGCGGUAAUACGUAGGGUGCGAGCGUUCAUCGGAUUUACUGGGCGUAAAGCGUGCGCAGGCGGCCCGUUAAGACAGGUGUGAAAUCCCUGGGCUCAACCUAGGAAUUGCGCUUGUGACUGGCGGGCUCGAGUACGGUGGAGGGGGGUGGAAUUCCUGGUGUAGCAGUGAAAUGCGUAGAGAUCAGGAGGAACACCGAUGGCGAAGGCAGCCCCCUGGGCCUGUACUGACGCUCAUGCACGAAAGCGUGGGGAGCAAACAGGAUGAGAUACCCGGGUAGUCCACGCCCUAAACGAUGGGUACUAGCCGUUUGGUGCGCGAUAGCGCUGAGUGGCGAAGCUAACGCGAGAAGUGCCCCGCCUGGGGAGUACGGCCGCAAGGUUGAAACUUAAAGGAAUUGGCGGG
rnacentral:rRNA from 1 species